GGAAGCGUAUCGAAGUGGUCAUAACGAGGCGGUCUUGAAAACCGUUUGGGUCAACGCCCACGGGGGUUCGAAUCCCUCCGCUUCCGCCA
rnacentral:tRNA from 1 species